UGCAGUUAAGUUACCUACUAACUUUAAAUUAGUUUACAGCAAGUGCCAACAUCAGUUUCUGUUAAUGUAACCGGAGGACUCUGGGUUAGCUGCUUAAAUAAACUAGUUUAACUCAGGUGUAUCCAGGCAGCUCAGCAGCCAACAUAACAUUUUAUUGAGCAUUCCCUGAAUGGAUGACAACUUCAAGAGAUACACUGGGGACCUGGUGACAUGGAUCUCAGGUAUGAAGCCCAAACUCUUUUCCUGGCAGAACAGGAACAGAAGUUGGCUCACUACAGCAGCUGGAGAUGAAUACAAAGAGAGGAAUCCUGCUUGUGGUGAGAGAUAUACUCAAACUGUGUUUUUGCACACUAUGUGUCAAGAUAACCUCCUAAAACCCAAAGAGAUUUUUGCUUGGCAGAAUUGUAAGCCAAGUAAAAAAAACAACCCCUAAGUAUCCAUAAUAUAUUUGCAAAAGCAUGCCUUACUCAAACAUUUUCAUCAUAAAUGAUACGUUGGCUUUGUGUUGCAGACUAUCUCUCAUUCUUUUAUUUAACUUGAUACCUCUUUAAACGUUCCAAAAGUGAAGUAAACCUCAUUUCAUUGAAAUAUUUAAAGGGUCAGUCCACUCAAAUCACAAAAAAACAUUCUUUUCUCUAUUGGGAUCAAGCCAUGGAAAUGG